UGGUGAGGGCACAUUUAAUAAUAUUUGAGUAGUACCUACAUGACUACAUACUCUCUAAAACUCUAAAACUCCAAUCAGUGCAAAUCCCCCUAACUUGGAAAGAUUCAUCAAGAGGCAGAUAAUUACAACACUGGUGAAUAUGAAUUAUAAGCCAUGUUUAUACUGGCGCCACGUCGUGGCGUUCCAUUGGCUAGUUUGUUAAACUCUCAGCCAUCACUUGCCGGUAGCCAUACUUUGACACCCUCCUGUCUUGGUUCCUUAAGGCUGCUAUGACAAAAAUGCCAUGGACUGGGUGGCUUAAACAACUUACUUCUCACAGAUCUGGAGGCUGGAAGUCUAAGAUCAAGGUGCUGGCACAUUCGGUGUCCUGUGAAAGUCCGCUUCCUGAUUCACAUACAGCAGUCUUCUCGACGUGUCCUGCCAAGGCAGAAGGGAAACUUGAUUUUUCUUUUU